rnacentral:snRNA from 1 species
GUGGCCUUGCUGCCACGAUC